CACCCCUCCAGACGGACCCGAGUGGUACGGUCCAUUGAUAAAUUCAACAUGGAGGCUGCUGGUUGUUGUGGAUUCCUCAAUCCGGAGGAGGAGAUUUAAUCAUCAUUUAAUCAUCAUUCACACACUGCUGGGGAUGAAUACAUGAAGUGAACCGUUGAUUCAGGUCCACAGGAGGAGAUUUAAUUAUUUAAACAUCAUUGACACACUUCUGUGGAUGAAUCCAUGAAGCUGUGGGCUCCUUUCUCCCUGCACUAACCGCCCUGGUGGAGGAGUUUAAUGAGCUAACGGAGCUGACUGACCGUUAACUAACUCUACUGGCUUAUUAACUAACUCUCUGAGGGACCGGAUGGAGCCCCGGCAGGUCAUCGGGCUGUUCGGACAGCUCAGCGGGUUCCCGGCGCCUGUUGGGGCUCAUGUUACCGAGGAGCAGCUGGAGGAGGUCCGGAUCUACCGGCUGGCAGCAGAGUGGGGUCAGAGCGACCUGGUCCGAGGAUCCAGACUUCGGUUCUCCCAGCAGUGGACUCUGAUCGCAGACAGCAACAACCACCGGACCUAUCAGGACCGUCCUCCCACCGGGGACCUGUGUGCCGCUGUCUCCAGAGUUGCUGAGCAGUCGUUCUCCAGUUCAACACCUCAGAGCCGUGCUGAAGGACAUCAGUGGCCACCAUCUCCUGGAGGUACAACAGCAUGGACCAUAGAUCAGUGUUCAGACACACUGCUUCUGCUUCUGGUUCUUCUGUAGGUCCAUAGAUUAGUGUUCAGAUGCUCUGACUGGUUCUGGUUCUUCUGUAGGUCCAUAGAUUAGUGUUCAGACCCUCUGACUGGUUCUGGUUCU
ensembl:lncRNA